UCAAUAUGACAAGAACACUUA
rnacentral:piRNA from 1 species